GAGUUGUAUCACAGGUUUUGAACCAUCGCAAGCAUCCCUGCUGUAAUGUGAGCAUCUGCAGGAUCUGACGCUUGCCUUGCAGCAGAAUUCACUCCAUCUCCCCUCUGGAUAUUAGACUGAUAAUUUGGAUCAGGUCUCAGCAUGGGCCACUGGGGAAGACUACAGCCCUGCUGAGCGAUGGAAGGAUUAUCCACUCAAGGAGUUCACACGUCCUGGCCGACAUGGAGAACAUGACUAGAAGUAGAUUUGGAGGGUGCUCGCUGGUGGAUUGUGGAAUGUAAGCCUGAAGAAGCAGAGUUUAAUUCUACAGAGGUAUUUUCAUAAUGUAUUACCCUGACAGGGCUCCUGGUGUUGGUCCUUAGACACUCCUGGGAUGGCUCCAUGGAAACAUGCAGGAAACCUUGGUCACAUGACAUGAUGCGGAGAUGUCAGAGUUGCAUGAACGGAGUUAUGGAGGAAGACAUGAAAAGACUUCGAGAGUCCUUCAUUCUAAUUGGUGAAGUGGAAGCACAUGGCUGGUGUAAAGAAUAAGAAAGUAAUUAGGAAACAGCAGGAGAAGAAAGCAGAACCCUAAACCUUGAAUCAGCCUGGCUCCUAGAAGAGUGUUUCUCAAAGUGAACUCCAUGGACCACCUGAAUCAGAAGCUCGUGAGGCUUUUAAUAAUAAUAAUAAUAAUAAAGUACAGGUUCUGGGAAGCACCCAACACAAUAAGACAGAAUCUUGGAAUGAAGGGUGAAAAGGUGCAUUUUAAAAUAACCUCCAGAGCUGAUUCUUAUUCAAACUGACUUGAAAACUGCUGCGCUGGUGGCAAGAAAUCAAGGGACU